UGUAAGCGUAUACCAAAGUUGUUGCAGUUAAAACGCUCGUAGUCGGAAUUUGGCAGUUCCGGAUGUGUGCACGUCGUGUGCGCACUUCGCGGGGAUUGCUUUUGUGGUCUUGCGUAGGAUGAGGCACUUUUAUUAGUGAACGUCCUCACGCAACCACUUUUUACUGUGAGAAAAUCAGAGUGCUCAAAGCAGGCAUUUGCCGUGAAUGUAUUAGCAUGGAAUAAUAGAAUAGGACUUGGUUCUAUUUUGUUGGUUUGUUGGGACUGAGUAAUGAUUAAGAGGGACAGUUGGGGGCAUUUGUAUUUCGGUGCUAGAGGUGAAGUUCUUAGAUUACCGAAAGACAAACUGCUGCGAAAGCGUCUGCCAAGGAUGUUUUCAUUGG
rnacentral:rRNA from 1 species